ACACUUUUUGUAGCUGGAGAAAGGGUAACACUUUUUGUAGCUGGAGAAAGGGUAUUCUUCCCUACCAGCCGUCUCUACACCCCCAUUUUUUCCUCUUUUCUCCAUUGUAGAUCUAGGUUCAAAAAGAAGAACAAGAUGUGAUUCUCCACCCUCUUAGAGAAAGCGGUUCGAAUCCCUCGUCAGGUGAACUCGUGUUUCUUCAUUGGUGCCCACCAAUAUAAACUCACAACAAUCACAUCUCUCAUUUAACUCCUAGAAAUCUAAGAUCUGUGUUCUUGAGGAAUUCACACAUGAGAUUUGUUCCAAUCUGAAAAACCUACGUUUUUAAUAAAACUCAGAUCUGGGUUUUCUUUUAAGGACUAUGUGGUUUUUUCCUUAUCCACACCAUAACAUUUGUUCUAUCGAUGCCCUGUGGGUGAUUUUUAAUACACUUUCUCUUCCACUAAAGCUUCUUGUGACUUAUUAAGGGAUAUGCGAUAAUUCUUAGAUCCAAAAUAUUUGUGCUCAACCACUCAUUAUUGGGAGUUAUUUAAAGUCAAAUCAGACGUCAAUGACAAAAGCUAAAGAUGUUGAUUUACAUCUCAAAUUCCCUUUCUAUAAACUAUUGUCGUAUAUAAUUUUUAUCAUACUGCAGAAAAAGAAAAAAAAAAGAACUCACAUUUCUGACUUUUUGUCAUUUAGCCUGAGAGGCAAAUAAAGCACAUGAAACCCAUCACUCAUCUAAGUUUCAAUUUUAACCUAUAAACCUACAAAAAUGUUGGUUAGCUAAUCUUCAAUUUUAACCUAUAAGUUUAACAUGAAACCCAACAGAAUUUCCCUCCAAAUUUCAAAUUUCUCUUUCCAUCUCCAAAUCAGCUGAUCUUCAUCUUCUCUUCUUCAUCAUCGCAAUCAAUCGCUCAGACACGGGAAAGAAGAAGAUAACUAUCAAGCCAAUAACAUUUAGAGACACUUUUCCUAUUUCUGCUAUCGGUCAACUCUCUCUCUCGACGAGACACGUCCUAGAACUGUAACUAAUAGUUUAAAAGAAAAAGGCUACACACUUGAUGGUGCAUUAGGCAAGGGGUCUUUGGGUAAGGUGUAUAAGUGUAUAGAAGAUGCGACAGGGCAAGCAUUUGUUUGUAAGACAACGCUAACGCGAAAGAAUGAUAUCGAGAUGGCGAUCAGGGAAAUGGAUAUUAUGAAGGGGUUGCCGGCGCAUCCCAACCUUGUGGCUUGGAAGGAUGGAUUUAGUGACGCACAUGCCAUUGUGUUAGCCACGGAGUUAUGUCAGGGUGGCACGUUAUGGGAUCACAUGAAAAACAAGGUUUCGUGCACCGAAGAAUUUUAUGCCCCCGAGUUUUGAGUUUUGUGAGGUAAGAAAGAAGGUUCUGUUCACGGAACGAGAGGCCGCAACUGUGAUGAGAGAUAUAAUUGAAGCUAUCAAGGGAAACCAUGUAACUCGUGAAGUGAAGCAGCAAAACUUGCAAAAGUGAUGAAAAUCUUGAAAAAGGCAACAACUAAUUGAAGAUUUAUUGAAGAAUCAUAUUUGUUGAUCGAACUAGUAUUUAAAUCAAAUAUACGUUAGUUAUAAAUUGCUAAUUAGGUUAAAUUAUGCUGCUAGGCUUCGGCCCAAUUUAGUCUGUAUAAUUGUUUCUCGGUCCAAUAGGUUUAUAUCGGUUCUUAGUAGUUCCCGGCCUGGAACCAACCUGACACCCGAUAUACUACAAUUAUAGAAACCGAACAAAUACCCAAAUAACUAUUAGGGUCGGUUUCAGGUACUAUACGAUUCGGUUAUCGAGUUCCAGUCAGGUCAGACCUAAUUUUGCUCACCCCUAUUUUAGAGUACAUGCGGCUUAAAAACAUAUAAAGUUAUGUUGCU